rnacentral:lncRNA from 1 species
CCUUUCCCACCUCCGCCCAGCACUGCCACGGCUCCCUCUUCUUGCUUGUCUUUUCAGGCGGUGGAUAUUGGAAUCGGGAGCUUUGCAGUUGUGCCAACUCGAGCCGCUGCUGGACAGGAUGGGGCUCUGGAAGUAGACACACCCGUUUUCCAGCUGAACCAACACGUCCAGACAUUUUACAACCUCAAGGAUUCUAAGACCAAAAUUCCUUCCGAGAUAUUCGAACAUCCGCUGAACUUCGAGGAGAUUGCUCAAACCAUCUACUUCCGCCCGCCAAUCGUAGAGCAGUGCAUCCAUGAGACCCUGCUCUUCUUUGCCGAGGCCCUCCGAGGAAAGAAGGAAGUGGACUUCUUGUUCAGGAGGCUUGGCAUUCUUUCUCUGAGAGGGCGACAGGUCACCAUGAACUUCUUUGACGACUGCGCCCUGGAGCUGGAUGCGACGGGCAACAUGCUGCCAGCUCUUCUCGGGGACUCCGAGAUGAUGAACAUGAUUGCCUUUCGAGGCAAAAGCAAAUUCACUCGACGCAGCGUGGACGGCUGCAUCGUGCUGCCAAGGCUUCAAGUUGAGGGCUCAAAGACUUGCCAAGAAACGACAUCCGUCAAGCCCCAGAGAGAGCUGCAGCCGUGGGUCGGGGGUGCCCGAAGAGUGAGUGUGUACGAUCCGGUGAUGCUGGCUCGGCGCAGGGUAUCUCAAGUGGUGAGGGUAGAGAAGAAGCAGAAAGAGGAGGAGAAGAAAAAGCAAAGAGUCCGAUUCAGGUUCCUGCCACAGCUUGAGCAGAUGUACAUGGAAGAGCUGAAGCAGCCAAAACCUCCAGCUCAGCCGGGGCCCUCCGCCAGUGCCCAGCAGGCCUCCAAAAUGGCAGCGCGCUCGGUGCGCGCUCAGAUCGAAGAGAGACGGCUCCGCGUGCUGAUGGCCUCCAAGCGCAAGGAGGUCAAAGCCGAAAUCCAGAGCCAGUGCAGGGAGUGCACACGGCGGCAGAGCGCGGAGAGAAGCCAGAACCCCUUCCACCGCCUGCUGGAGGUUGAGCCUCGUCCUUCCUACAUCCUGAGAAGGGAGUACGACCAGAAGCUGAAGGGGAAGGACAGGUACCAAAGCCCUGCAGGGCAGACAGAGCCACAGGAGCGGCAGGACAAUCCGCAGCUCCCAGGAGCAGCACGGGAACGGUAAGCGUGCACCGGCUUCUGCACAGGCCCGGGAGCAGCCUCGGGAGGCCCUGAGCCCCAGAUCUGUUGCCCAGGCUUCCCUGGGCUGCGGGGCUGGGCCUUCUCCCCGUCCUCGUGACACAGAAGGAGCUGGGUGUGAUGCCACCUCCGGGAGCCUCUCGGCAGCUCCCAGCCGAGGCAUGACACUUGUACCAAGGGGAAGGCUGUGAGUCCCCUGGGAGGCCGGGGCCAUGUGCGUGGUGCUGUGCAUCUGCGUGGGCCGGCACCGGCACCGAGGAAGGAAGAGGCAGCAGCGUCCCAGCCAGCGCACGCUGGGGCCCCUUGUGUGGGUGGGAGCCCCUUGGGCGUCAGCCUUGGAGCUGCUCCGUGCCAGGGCCCGGUGCUGCUCACCUUCCCCCCGGCUGGCGGGCGCUCUUGGUGCUGAUGGGCCUGGGCACGAGGGCCCCGGGGUAACACGCAGAGCGGGGUCUGACCUGGGCGGCACGUCCCCAGACUACAGGCCCGAGAGAAGCCCUGCGGCGUUUGCAUCCCUCCUUCCCCAGCCCAGAGACGAAGGCCUUUCUUCUUGGUUCCUACAGGAACGGAGAGAAGACGAGGCUCUUGGAGCGCCGUGGGAAGGCCCGGGGCCUGCAAGGCAGCUUCCAGCUGCAGCGGCCGUAGACAUCGCGGCCUACACCAAAACGCUGCGGCAGGCACCAGCGACUGCACCCAGGCGCACUCAAGCAGAACCUCCCACGGCUGCACGCUGCCACCUUUGCAGCGGGACAGCUGUCAGCAGCGGGGGCGAGGGGCACCUUUCCAAAACGGAAUUGACACCUUCACUCAACUAAAGGGAAAUUCACAGCUUCUGUAGUGUUUGCCUUACGCGAUCGUUUUGUGCGCGCAAAUUGCACUGCUUCAGCAAUUACUUCAAGAGUCUUCAGCAAAGUGGCAUUUGGCCUAGGGAAGGUCGUUCGUUACUCCUAGGCAAGCCGGACAUCUGAAGCCUGAAAGCAGAGCCUCAA